UACGAAGGGGGCUAGCGUUGUUCGGAAUUACUGGGCGUAAAGCGCGUGUAGGCGGGUCUUUUAAGUCAGGGGUGAAAUGCCAAGGCUCAACCUUGGAACUGCCUUUGAUACUGGAGACCUUGAGUCCGGGAGAGGUGAGUGGAAUUGCGAGUGUAGAGGUGAAAUUCGUAGAUAUUCGCAAGAACACCAGUGGCGAAGGCGGCUCACUGGCCCGGAACUGACGCUGAGAUGCGAAAGCGUGGGGAGCAAACAGGG
rnacentral:rRNA from 1 species